AAAGAAUAAGUGCACUUGAGUAUAACAAUGGCUGGGUGAGACCGGUAUAAAUGUCUAUUCUGCACAAGGUACAGACAAGUUUGGUGGGAUUCAUGCCUGGUUCAUUUUAAUAAAUGUGAGCUUGUCCACGUUGGCCGUGGACAGGUGGCUGCACUUGUCUGUGACAAGUGCCGUCACAGACCUCGUUCCGAUCGCACGUCCCUGUGACAGCGACAACGCAUUCGGAUGUCUGCCCUAUCAACUUUCGAUGCUAUUUUCCGCGCCUACCAUGGUGACCACGCGUAACUGGGAAUCAAGGUUCGAUUCCAGAGAGGGAGACUGAGAAACAGCUAUCACAUGCAAGGAAGGCAGCAGGCGUGCAAAUUACCCACUCCCGACACGGGGAGGUAUUGAC